rnacentral:rRNA from 1 species
GACGAACCGUGCGAACGUUAUUCGGAAUCACUGGGCUUAAAGCGCGUGUAGGCGGGACGGCACGUCGGUCGCUGAAAGCCCCCGGCUCAACCGGGGAAGGGGCGCCGAUACGACCGUCCUCGAGGGACGUAGGGGGGACCUGGAACUUCCGGUGGAGCGGUGAAAUGCGUUGAGAUCGGAAGGAACGCCCGUGGCGAAAGCGAGGUCCUGGACGUUUACUGACGCUGAGACGCGAAAGCCAGGGGGAGCGAACGGG